GACGAACGCUUGCGGCGUGCUUAACACAUGCAAGUCGAACGGAAAGGCCCUGCUUUUGUGGGGUGCUCGAGUGGCGAACGGGUGAGUAACACGUGAGUAACCUGCCCUUGACUUUGGGAUAACUUCAGGAAACUGGGGCUAAUACCGGAUAGGAGCUCCUGCUGCAUGGUGGGGGUUGGAAAGUUUCGGCGGUUGGGGAUGGACUCGCGGCUUAUCAGCUUGUUGGUGGGGUAGUGGCUUACCAAGGCUUUGACGGGUAGCCGGCCUGAGAGGGUGACCGGCCACAUUGGGACUGAGAUACGGCCCAGACUCCUACGGGAGGCAGCAGCGGGGAAUAUUGCACAAUGGGCGGAAGCCUGAUGCAGCAACGCCGCGUGCGGGAUGACGGCCUUCGGGUUGUAAACCGCUUUCGCCUGUGACGAAGCGUGAGUGACGGUAAUGGGUAAAGAAGCACCGGCUAACUACGUGCCAGCAGCCGCGGUGAUACGUAGGGUGCGAGCGUUGUCCGGAUUUAUUGGGCGUAAAGGGCUCGUAGGUGGUUGAUCGCGUCGGAAGUGUAAUCUUGGGGCUUAACCCUGAGCGUGCUUUCGAUACGGGUUGACUUGAGGAAGGUAGGGGAGAAUGGAAUUCCUGGUGGAGCGGUGGAAUGCGCAGAUAUCAGGAGGAACACCAGUGGCGAAGGCGGUUCUCUGGGCCUUUCCUGACGCUGAGGAGCGAAAGCGUGGGGAGCGAACAGGCUUAGAUACCCUGGUAGUCCACGCUGUAAACGGUGGGUACUAGGUGUGGGGUCCAUUCCACGGGUUCCGUGCCGUAGCUAACGCUUUAAGUACCCCGCCUGGGGAGUACGGCCGCAAGGCUAAAACUCAAAGGAAUUGACGGGGCCCCGCACAAGCGGCGGAGCAUGCGGAUUAAUUCGAUGCAACGCGUAGAACCUUACCUGGGUUUGACAUGGAUCGGGAGUGCUCAGAGAUGGGUGUGCCUCUUUUGGGGUCGGUUCACAGGUGGUGCAUGGCUGUCGUCAGCUCGUGUCGUGAGAUGUUGGGUUAAGUCCCGCAACGAGCGCAACCCUUGUUCACUGUUGCCAGCACGUUAUGGUGGGGACUCAGUGGAGACCGCCGGGGUCAACUCGGAGGAAGGUGGGGAUGACGUCAAGUCAUCAUGCCCCUUAUGUCCAGGGCUUCACGCAUGCUACAAUGGCUGGUACAGAGAGUGGCGAGCCUGUGAGGGUGAGCGAAUCUCGGAAAGCCGGUCUCAGUUCGGAUUGGGGUCUGCAACUCGACCUCAUGAAGUCGGAGUCGCUAGUAAUCGCAGAUCAGCAACGCUGCGGUGAAUACGUUCCCGGG
rnacentral:rRNA from 1 species